CAUGAGACCAUGACCUGAGCCAAAGUCGGAGCCUUAACCGACUGAGCUCCCCAGGCGUCCCUCUCUUCCCCAGUAUUGUGAAGGCAGCCGUGGACACAAGGGCAACCUUUCCGCUCCGGGGUAUCGGCCCCCACCUGCUCAGGGACUCUGUCCAGCUCCGCGUGGAGGUGGCCGGAGGAGGAUGGAACACAUCCGGGCAUUUUCAGGUGGGACCUGCCAGCCAGAAAGUCCUCCCCGACGCGCCCUCGCAGGAACAA